rnacentral:tRNA from 11 species
GGGGCCAUAGCUCAGUUGGUAGAGCACCUGCAUGGCAUGCAGGGGGUCAGCGGUUCGAGUCCGCUUGGCUCCA